rnacentral:snRNA from 1 species
GGACAUGAGGGCAAUCUGACUGUGACAUAUGUCCCCACUGGUCUCCAGGGUUGACUCUGUAGAUUUGGCUGGCUAAGCAGCAUCCUCUUCCUCCCUCCGGCUCUUCAUCAGCCCUCCUGAAGCUGUAUUCUCUCUGGGUGGAAGAGGAAUAUAUUCCCCAAUAGGGUAGGACAAAGGUACAGAGGAGCUGCAUUCCCUGCCAGAACCUCCAAACAAAUUCUCAAGAAAGGCACUCUAAGGACUGAGGGUAUAGCUCAAGAGCAGA